CACGCCCUAAACGAUGAUUACUCGACGUGUGCGAUACACUGUACGCGUCUGAGCGAAAGCAUUAAGUAAUCCACCUGGGAAGUACNUACGCGAGGAACCUUACCUGGGCUAGAAUGCAGUCUGACUGCCGGUGAAAGCUGGCUUUGUAGCAAUACACAGAUUGUAAGGUGC
rnacentral:rRNA from 1 species